AUCUGUGGAGUGGCUGCAGCACCUGUGUUUCAGCCUGAAGAAUGGGCACAGUCCCUCUUUGGCAGACUGAAUGGAUGCUGCCAUACCAUCACACUGAAAAUGAGGAAUAUAACACCAUGAGGAUGAAUGGUUGUUUCACACACUGCUACUGAGUGAUGAUGUUCUUUCUAUACAUCCCAAGCGUUCUGUACAUCUAUGCAUCCCAAGUGCAUCAAGAUGGACCAGGUUGUCAGCAUGUUCAGAGUAAACAUGAAGAUUUAUGAUGUGCAUCUAAUGCCUGGUUUGGGGUCUGCACCAGGUUGGAGUCCAAGACUCAAGUGGGCUUUCCUGGAUAUUUCAUGAUUCUGAAGAAGAAUUGGAGGUGAGACUUGAGAAAAUGGAGAAAAAGAUAUGCUUUGGAUUUUCUUGAAGAUUAGAAGCUUUCUUAACCAUCCACCACCUUGUUGAUUGGUUAUUAUUCUCUCUACCUUCUGUGAAACAAACUGAUGGAUACUAAUGGCACAAUUACACUUAUAGCUAGUCAGUUGCAUAGUUUAUGCACAUAGUUCUGCUUCCAGUGUUUAGUAAUGAGUUAAACAUUUUGGCUAUAUUUGUCUCUGAAGCUAUAAUUUAAUUAAUCAUUAUGUAUAGCAAUAAUAACAAGUAAAACAAAAAGAAGAGUUUUUGUUUUUAUGGUAAUUAUGUUGGGUGCUUUGGAUCCUCCCAAUAAAGUUGACUUCCCUAAAAUAAUUACACUUGAAUUAGGUAUAGAGAAGCUAAUUGUAACAAAUUGAAAGUUACUGUAAAUCUUCUAAUCGUAGUUCUCUGCAAGUGUACUUAAGUUAUUGCUCCACUUGAAAUAAAUGAAAACUGGAAAUCU